CCUUCUCGGGAAUAUUUGCCAAGUGAACGUCCUCUGUGCAGACUCACAUGAUGCUCUGUCAUCUUUGGGAGGAGAGCCAAUAUUGUGAAAAGUUGCCAGUGAAAAAAAUGGAUCACAGCAAAAUAACCGGAGCAUUUAACCAGCCUGAGUUUGGAGGUGAUUGUUGCCGGCCUCUGCGGGUUUCCCGGGUCAAAGAAACAGAAUUGAGAACCUGGAAGUGUUGAUCAAGACAGGUGCUGCAACUUUGAUCAGGCUCUUCUGGGUCCUCUGCUGCCUGAGGCCAGGGAAGGAAGAGAACCCUGAUAGGACAGCAGCACCUUGGGAAGUCAAGGAUUUGGUGACUAAGAACCAGAUACAACAGGACCUAAGUGGAAUUGCCUGAGUUGUGCCCAGAGAGCUCACUGUGGGUGGAUCUGCUUCAUGGAAUACUGGGGAGGAUUACUUAAGAGAACUAGUGUGUCUGAAACCAGAAGGAAUCUUCAGAACCAUCACUGUAUAGAUGAGAUAGCUGGGGC